CCUCUCAUGGCGUAGUGGUAACGCGCCCCAACUAGAGAUCGGGGAGUCGUGAGUUCGAUUCUCACUGACAAGA
rfam:Aedes aegypti strain Liverpool supercont1.27 genomic scaffold, whole genome shotgun sequence.